rnacentral:lncRNA from 1 species
GUAGGUAUGUGUCGUGGGGUUGAAAGGGGAUUUAGGGUUCUCACCUAAAUCCAUCAUCAACACAAGAAUUCUGCAUAAAUUGGGGUGAUUUGAGCUGGAAAUCGAGUGCAUGAGACAUCAUCUACACUUGUCUAAGUGUCCUUGAGGUAAGGAACGUGUCAAGGAGAGCUCAAGCAUAGGAGGAUAACGGGUCAAGAUAAGGCAAGGUGACAAAUACACUUAUUGGAGUGCUCAAGGUAAGUGAUUUCCAGAAUCACUUCUUAUCUUAUAAAUAAAGUUUUGAUAUGUUAAACGUAGGAAAUCAUGUGAGAAAUUAUGAGAAGGAGCAAGUACUAAGGUAUAUAUUAAUGAGGUAAGUCGUAAAAAGUUAUUUGUGCUUGGAAUUACAAGAUAGAAGGGAACGGGUCAAUAAUAAAGAAAGAAACAUGGCGUAAUGUGGUAAUUAGUUUGAUCAUGUGGUUAUACGUUAGAAAGAUUUAGGAGUUUGUAUAUGAUUAUUUUACAUAUUGGAAGCGUGAAAAACGGAGAAGAAAGAAGUUCGGGUGUCUAACGGUUGUAUACGAAUGUAAAAAUAGAGAAAAAAAAGGUUGGCUGAACUAGGCUCUACCGUAGCUUACGGUAGCCACCGUAAGCAACGGUAGGUACUGAUGGUCAUUUCUCCACCGUAAGGCAGUAUAAAGGCACCGUAGGCUUUUGUGUGCCACCGUAAGCUACGGUAGUCACCGUAGCUUACGUGGAGGUCAGGUUCAGAUGUAAAGUUUAUGUAUAUUCAUUUUCUUUGAAUUUGGACCCCAAGAACCCAUUUCAAGUCCCGUUAAACUUCUAUAAUGUACCUUAACCCUAUUAAAUGGCUUGGUGAGUUAAGGAUGAAUAUAUAACUCAUUUUAAGAUUUCCGCAAUGUACCCGAAAGUUAUUUAAAAAGCGUUUAUGAAGUGCGAGUAAUAAUGGAAUGCGUAAGCGAGUAUGUGGAGGAAUGAAUUAAGUAUGUGGGUAUAUAUGUAUAGGAUUAAUUUCAUACCAAUAGCCGGGACUUAUAAUAAUCAUGAAUAGAAGUGAGUAUGCACGUAGGUUUGUAUGUACGUGACCUAUUUAUAUGGAAGUUGUAAUUAGGAUACAUUAGCAAAUCAUUUGGAAUGAUGUAAGUGGAAUGUAAGAGCUUGUACGUUUGUAUGUGUGUUCGUAAUCAUGUGUGGAAGUAUGUGUCCAUGAAUAUCUGUAUGUAUGUACCUAUGCACGAAGUAGAAUUUAUUGUACACGAAUGAAUGGGACUUUUUUUAUAUGUUUACAUAGCUUCAAUACUUUUGAGUUUAAAGUUUCUAAACUGGUGUCUUGAGUAUGAAAUGAGAAUGCAGGUAUACUAUUAAUGUCCUUAUGAAGGUUUAAGGAAUUGGAAUGCAAGAUCGUACACUGAAUGAGGAUUUGAAAAGAUUAGCAUGAGAUGAAGGAAUACGGAGUGGUCGCACGGACUUAACAUCAUUAUGAAGUAAAUAAGGAUUGAAGAUCGAGUCAAAGAGCGAGGUUGGUACGGGAAGGGUAGUCACAUAACUGGUGAUUUUAUAUUACAUUUGAUGCGAUAAUUAAGAAUGAACGUUGUAAAUCUUUUGAAGAAAGUGUUUGUUAUUUUUAAACGAACCUUCAAGUAAGUCAUAUGAGUAAUUAUGAAAGAAAUUUUAAGUCU